AACAAGCAUGUGGAAGUACAUUUUAUUAAGCCUUCACUGGCUCUCGCAAUGAGCACUUUCAAUCUGUACAAUUAAAUCACCCGCUCAUGCAUACAAGGCUUCUUACGCACUGCGCACAAGGCAUGUGCGAGCAAACGUGACGAAAACACGCUUGUUAGUACAAAACUCGUGACAGAAGCUUGUCACAAGUAUUCUUUACUUCAAAUCUUGCUGACAUGCAACACUAUUCAAUUCUCACUUUAAAUAGCACACGCUCACACAAGCACAGCUGUAACUAAGUGAAAUAUUGAGCCAGGAUUACCGAGUGAGUUACUCGUCAUUCUCUUUUGGUUGUUCAAUGCUAGCCGCCUGCGGCAUUCUUUCACCCACUUUGAGGCCAUUGGAAUUUUCCAAAACGUCCUGUAAAAUUCGACAUAUUGUUGGUUGCCAGCACAGCUGUGAUUGCUAUUGAAACAGUCCACUUUGAAAAGCUGAACCAGCAUGGUAAAACAUGCAGUGAACUGUUUAUUGUGCACUCGUGUUAAUACUCGAACGCUUCAAAUAUUUGAACGAAUAUUACUGUACUUGAAUUUGCUUUGAUUCAAAUUUAAAUCGUUGAAAAUUUCAAAGUAUUUGCAAUAAACGAGAAAAUGUAUACCAAGCCGCAUGUAACUCCCUGUAAAGGUGGGUUCACUGCAGUGAAGGGGUGCUAAAUCGCGAAAGCAACUAUGCAAGUGUAAAUUAGUCCGCAUAACACAUCCAGGGAAAAUUUGCACUGCCGCAAAGCCUUGCUUCAAGGUUAAAUGAAUAUGUUAUUCUCACAUUGAUUUAUAAUUUACGUAAAAAA